CCUGACCUCUAGUGAUCCUCCCGCCUCGGCCUCCCAGAGUGCUAGGAUUACAGGCGUGAGCCACCACACCCGGCCAAAUGCUGUGAAAUGAACAGUCACAGAGUCUCUGUGGCAUAUAGCAAUAAACAUUUAAUUUGGGCAUGAGGGGAGUUCAAUGAGUCUGGACUGGGCUUGGCUAAUCUCAGCUGAGCUUACUCGUACAGCUUUGGUCAGCUGAAGAGGUCACCAUGAGGACCAUAGCUGGGUUUGUUUACAUUUUUGGUGGCCAAUUGGAUGUUGGCUAAUGUACAGCAGAUUCAGCUGGAAAGGCUGGGUGGCCAGGCCAUGUUCCAUGAGUCCCAUCCCCCAGUGGCCAGCCCACGCUGUCCUUCCCGGGGAAUUAGCAGAGGGCAAAACCAGUGGUGCCUGUGCCUUUCAAACCUCUGCUUGAGUUACCUUUGCUAACCUCUCACUGGCCAAGUCAAGUCACAUGACUGAGCCCGGACCAGAGUGUGAAGUCACUGAAAAGUACAUGGCAGAGGGUGAGCUGGACACAAAGAAAGGUGAAGAACCGAGCAUAUUUUUGUAAUCCACAUACAGGAUAUGGGGCAGAAUUACGAAUUCAGGUCUGGAAUUUUGAGUUUGAAGCGCAUGGGAGGAAUCGUGGCAGAGGCACGCCAUAGAGACGUGGUUGUGAGGGAAGGGAGUUCUGGAGGCGGGUUGCCCAGCUAUGCAGGUUUGGAGGUGACUUACCAAGAGAGGCAGAAGCCAUGCAAAACCACGUCCCGGGAGAGUGUGUGAGGUGAGGAGAGUGGAGGUGAAGAUGGGACCCAGGGACCAAAUUCCUCCUCUGCCUCUGAGCCUCAGACUUUCUACCUGGGUGGCUGGAGAGAACAGCUGACUGUCCCUGUGCUCCUUCCUUCUGUUCCCUGUGGCAGGGCCAUUACGUCAGCCUUCUAGGGGGCGUCCUUCCCACAGGACCCCCAGAAUGCAACAAGGCUGGCUCCCCUUGGAGUUGGGCGACACGUAGGCACUGCUGGGUGCCGGGGCCCGAGGAGGCCUCCCUGGCUACAUAGCUUCCCUCUCGCAGGGGUGGGCUCUGCCCCUCAAGUACGCAUCGACGGGCCAGAGGAUGACGGGGUCCACGUGGUGAGCACGGCCUCGGGGUGGUUCCCAAAGCCCCAGGUGCAGUGGAGGGACCUCAGUGGAGAGAAGUUCCUGGGGUUCUCCGAGGCCCAUGCCCAAGACGCUGAGGAGCUGUUCAGUGUGGAAGCCGCUCUGGUGGUGGGAGACAGCUGUGUGGGGAAUGUGACCUGCUCCAUCCUCAACCCCAUCCUGGGCCAGGAGAAGGCGAUGGCCACUUUCAGCCCAGGUGCAGCAGGAACGGGAGAGUGUGCGCCGGGCUAAGGAGGAGGACCAGAAGGCAAAGGAGGAGGCGCAGAAGGCUGGCGACUGGAGGAAGGAAACUUGCCUGGUUGUGGGCACCGUGGCUCACGCC